UUAUAGCUCCAAAUUCUAGCACCAUGCCUGGUACAUACCAGAAGCUUAGUAAAUAACUACAGAGGGGAACUUUAAAUGCUAGAGAAAUUAGUUUAUACUUUAUCCCAAAAGCAAGAGGAGCAAUGAAAAUUUUUUGAGUGAAUUAAUAUUUUGGCAGUAUAGAGGACAGCCUGGAAAGUAGGGAGAUUGGAAGCAGGGUGAUGAAUUGAAGAAUGUCAGGUAAGAAGUGAUAAGGGCCAGAUCCAAAACAGUAACCAUGAAAUUGGAAAAAGGAGAAAAGAGAAGGGGGGAAAGAGGUGCUGCCAAAUCUGUCCUGCAGAAAUCCCUGAAGAGUGCAAAGCAAUGGAUUCUAUGCCUAGAGAUGGGAGGUCCUAGGUUCAAACUGGCCUCAAAUACUUCCCAGCUGUGCAGGUCAAUUAACCCCCAUCACCUAUUCCUUACUGCUCUUCUGCCUUGAAAGCAAUGCACAGUAUUGAUUCUAAGAUGGAAGGUAAGAGUUUUGUUGUUUUUUUUUAAUUAAGUCUUAUGAGGAAGGUACUUCUGGUACUAUAUCCCCAUUUACAGGUGACUAAACUGAAUUUCAGAGAGAUUAAAUUAUUUUUCCAUGAUAGAACAGCUAAGGAAGAAGGGCAGAACUUGAAUCUAUAAAAUGCUGACUUUCUAUUCUUUUAGUCUAGUAUUAUCUAUUGUAUCACACUGCCCUCACUUUAUAGAAUAGGAAAAUAUCAGGCUGUAAAGUUUGUUUGAGCCAAAAUGGAAGAGCCUUAAAAGCCAGGUUUAAGGAAAAAAGUGGUCUUUUGGCAAUUAGAGAAAGGUAAUUGAGAAAUCCAUGAAUUUUAUGUAUCAAGUGGAGGUAGAACAGGGCUGAUAAAUAACUGAUAUAUAAGCUAAAUAUAUAACUCGUGCUUCAUUGACCUUUUCUUGUUCCAUAGAAAUGCUCCUUUAGAUAAACUGUGGGAGUAGAAACACCGAGGAAAAGUAACUGACAGACUACAGCUGUUGAGGGGACAUGUCAGAGGAGAGCCUUUAAAGGAACCCUUUAAUGCAAAUACUAACAACAUGGCAAGGGGUUUGAAUCAAGAACCCAUGUGAUCCCCAGGGGAAUCAUGCUUCAGUUUUGGGGGGGGGGGGGGGAGAAAAUGAUCUUUGUCUCUAAUGAAUAAUGCUUGGAAAUGAUCAAAUAAAAUAUUAUUUAAAAAAAAAAAGAAGAGACUU
rnacentral:lncRNA from 1 species